rfam:Schistosoma mansoni strain Puerto Rico chromosome 3, complete genome
AUCUAGAUGGCGAGUCCCAAAUAGGGCGAAACGCGCGUUCUGGAU